rnacentral:tRNA from 1 species
GGUUUGUGGCUCAGUGGUAGAGCACUUGCCUAGCAUGUAUUAGGCACUGGGUUCGAUUCGGAGCACCA